AUGAAACAGCACGAAGAGAAAAGCGAAGUGUGCCAUGGGCUACAAAAACAUUGAGAAACUACGCAAUCUUCUGCAAACAUCCCACAGACGCAGAGCCAGCGCUGGAACUGAGAAACAAGGAAGGAGAGGAAAGCCCACAUUACACCUGAUCAAAAGAAGAUACACCUUCAGCAUCAGUGGAUUGCAUCUGUAUAUAUAUAUAUAUAUAUAUAUAUAUAUAUAUAUAUAUAUAUAUAUAUAUGAGAGAUUGUUUUUUAUUAACUGUUUUAAGUAUGUGUUUUCCAUCUGAAUCGGGAAGAGUGCUUGAGCAACAGGGAAACGAUGUUCUGUAAGUUUGGUGGGUGAAACGAGAGGGCUGGCUUCUUGGUCGGAACAGACGGUCAUCCAGUGAUCCUCAGUCCUCCUGAGUGGAAAGUGAGUUGCAACGGUACCUUUUGAAUAUCUGUGAAAAAAGGGGUUUGAUGCACUGCACUGCAUAUGCCCUAGCCCCUGGACCACUUGGAUGGUAUCCUUAGCCUUUAGCUGUGAUGACUCACUACGUGGGUGCUGGAGUGACUUGUAACUUGCUCACUCAGAGGAAGGAAGAGAAGGGGGCUUAAUAGCACCAUGGUUUCCAGAGCAACCACCUGUGGAAUAGAGAGAUGAAAGUUGUCAAAUGCAAAACAGCAGGCAUUUUAAAAAUCGUAUUUCUGAAGAUGCAUUAUCCACAGCUGUCUUUACUUUUCAAAUACUACAUUAUUACCAAGUGAGUGCUUCGGGGAUAUGCAGAGAAUGCCUAUCAUGACCACUAAAACAUCAGUAUAGAUUUAUAUGGUGCAGAACAGAACUUUGUUUAUGGACUUUGCGAUGCCUGCACUAAUAGUCGUAUCUACAAUGUAUCGAUAAUAACAAUCAACCAUUUUGUUACAGAUGUUCUAACAAGUCUGACACAAACCAUUUUGGCUGUUACUUAAUCAACCCUUGUAAAAAAAUAACAGAAAAAUGCUUAACAUAAAAAAGAAAGGUCCUACUACAGUAGCAGACGCAGUUUACACUGCCUCUGGGCUUCUGAUCGAAACACCAAUUCCAGAUUUUUUUAAAUUCAUUGAUGGAAAUGUCUGGUCUACUUUUAAUGUUUUCAAGUAAAUUGACUUCAUCUCUGCCGUUCUCAUAUCCACUUUGACAUCUGACACAUUAUUCCCCUUGUCCAGCGUUUCUUUAACCUGUUCUGUAUACCAGUCUGCCAGACGGCGAGAUCUCUAUGAGCACUGUAUGCAACUGUCUGAUUGGUGGAAGUAUUAUUAGCGAUCCAAUCAAAACCACCAAUAAAGCCAAAACAAAUUAUCCGCCCGUCAUAUGGUGUAGCCUAGGUUAAAGGGUACAUAAGGACCUUUUUAUUUUAUUGUGUUACAUGUUCCCAUGUUUUGCUACAACUGUUCACGUAAGGUGUGUGUAUUGUUUAAAUUAUUAUUAUUUUUUUUACCAUUUGACCAUUUUUUAAAAAACUUUUUAAAUUGCAUUCCGUGCCUCAAGAUGGCUUCACAUGUACCUGCAUGGAUCUCUCAGAACUACAUUUACCAUCAUCCUACUCACAUAUGUAACUGAGAUGGAUUUACCAGUGAACAGGAGGAUGAUGGGAAAUGUAGUUCUGAGAGGUCCAUGCUGUAACAAAAUGGUUGAUCGUUAUUGUCGAUACGUUGUAGAUACGAUUACCGAAGACACUCACCAUGCUGGUAUCUCAAAGUCUAUGAACAAAAAAAAACAUUAAAAUAACCUAGUUCUGCACCGUAUAAAACUGAGCUGAUUUUACCAGUGCUUGCUAGUCUUUUAACCAUUUUGAAAUUAUUUCGAAGCAAAUUAAAGCAUUUUCAUUUCGGCUUUAUAUUAAAGUUUUCACACGUGGCAGUACUGUCCUACAAUUAAUGAUACUGUGAUCAUUCCACUGUGUUAUGUUGUGAACCAUAGCUAAGUUUUAAGACUGAGAGAUAGCAAAUGCUUAUCGUAAAAGUUUACCCAAGCACGUACCCAUGUUCUGUGGUUCAUGGAAACAUGGUAAUAGACAAUCAAGUUAACAGAGAUGCAGCUACGGUUCUCAGAUAUGAAUAGUUCCAGGCCGUUCCAAUAAAAGCACAUGUUAACCACUGAGAUGCAAUUAUAGAUUAAUGAUUUUAUCCUUUUUUACAGACGGGUCAGAAUCUAUAGCAGCAUUACACAACAUGUUUUUUGCAUUAUGUGAUGAAGCUACUUUGUACAAACACAUUUUUGGGAAUUGUUCCUUAUAAAGUACACAGAGCCUGAAUAAAUAUUUGUCUUUCUUUACAACGAUUGUAUAGUAUCCUUAUGUUCAUGUUGAUCAAAUUCUUUAUCUUUAAAACAAUGUAUUACACAUUUUUAUAUAUUCACACAACAGAAGAAGUGCUCAUUGCUCAGUUUAAGCAUUUGCGUUUGUUCCAUGUCAAUUAAUUAUUUGUUUUUGAAUUUGGUUUGAGAAAUAAAAAGUGAAAUUCUGAUUAAAAAAAUUAUAGGGUGUUUCUAUGAAACUGUAUUUUCAGUUCCUUUUGUUUGUUUCGUAUAUGGGGGUGGGGUAUUUGAGAAUGGAAAACUAGGAAGAUA